GAUGAACGCUAGCUACAGGCUUAACACAUGCAAGUCGAGGGACCGGCACACGGGAGCGUAACACGUAUCCAACCUGCCCUUUACUCGGGGAUAGCCUUUCGAAAGAAAGAUUAAUACCCGAUGUAAAGGAUGGGGAUGCGUUCCAUUAGGUUGUUUGUGAGGUAACGGCUCACCAAGCCUUCGAUGGAUAGGGGUUCUGAGAGGAAGGUCCCCCACAUUGGAACUGAGACACGUUCCAAACUCCUACGGGAGGCAGCAGUGAGGAAUAUUGGUCAAUGGGCGUUAGCCUGAACCAGCAAAGUAGCGUGAAGGAUGAAUGUUUAUGGGUCAUAAACUUCUUUUAUAUAAGAAUAUGUAUUAUAUGAAUUAGGAUCGGCGAAGUCCGGGCCAGCAGCCGCGGUAAUUC
rnacentral:rRNA from 1 species